GACGAACGCUGGCGGCGUGCUUAACACAUGCAAGUCGAACGGAAAGGCCCUGCUUUUGUGGGGUGCUCGAGUGGCGAACGGGUGAGUAACACGUGAGUAACCUGCCCUUGACUUUGGGAUAACUUCAGGAAACUGGGGCUAAUACCGGAUAGGAGCUCCUGCUGCAUGGUGGGGGUUGGAAAGUUUCGGCGGUUGGGGAUGGACUCGCGGCUUAUCAGCUUGUUGGUGGGGUAGUGGCUUACCAAGGCUUUGACGGGUAGCCGGCCUGGGAGGGUGACCGGCCACAUUGGGCCUGAGAUACGGCCCAGACUCCUACGGGAGGCAGCAGUGGGGAAUAUUGCACAAUGGGCGGAAGCCUGAUGCAGCAGCGCCGCGUGCGGGAUGACGGCCUUCGGGUUGUAAACCGCUUUCGCCUGUGACGAAGCGUGAGUGACGGUAAUGGGUAAAGAAGCACCGGCUAACUACGUG
rnacentral:rRNA from 1 species